rnacentral:rRNA from 1 species
UUGAACGCUGCCGGCAGGCCUAACACAUGCAAGUCGAGCGGAAACGAUCCUAGCUUGCUAGGAGGCGUCGAGCGGCGGACGGGUGAGUAAUGCAUAGGAAUCUGCCCGGUAGUGGGGGAUAACUUGAGGAAACUCAAGCUAAUACCGCAUACGCCCUACGGGGGAAAGCAGGGGCUCUUCGGACCUUGCGCUAUCGGAUGAGCUUAUGUCGGAUUAGCUGGUUGGUGAGGUAACGGCUCACCAAGGCGACGAUCCGUAGCUGGUCUGAGAGGAUGAUCAGCCACAUCGGGACUGAGACACGGCCCGAACUCCUACGGGAGGCAGCAGUGGGGAAUAUUGGACAAUGGGGGCAACCCUGAUCCAGCCAUGCCGCGUGUGUGAAGAAGGCCCUCGGGUUGUAAAGCACUUUCAGCGAGGAAGAAUGCUUGUCGGUUAAUACCCGGCAAGGGAGACAUCACUCGCAGAAGAAGCACCGGCUAACUCCGUGCCAGCAGCCGCGGUAAUACGGAGGGUGCGAGCGUUAAUCGGAAUUACUGGGCGUAAAGCGUGCGUAGGCGGCUUGAUAAGCCGGUUGUGAAAGCCCCGGGCUCAACCUGGGAACGGCAUCCGGAACUGUUAGGCUAGAGUGCAGGAGAGGAAGGUAGAAUUCCCGGUGUAGCGGUGAAAUGCGUAGAGAUCGGGAGGAAUACCAGUGGCGAAGGCGGCCUUCUGGACUGACACUGACGCUGA